GGACUACACGGGUAUCUAAUCCCGUUUGCUCCCCUAGCUUUCGCGCCUCAGCGUCAGAAGAGAUCCAGGAGCUCGCUUUCGCCACCGGAGUUCCUUCCAAUAUCAACGCAUUUCACCGCUCCACUGGAAGUUCCAGCUCCCCCUAUCUCGCUCAAGUCCAUCAGUAUCUCAGGCACUUUUCCGGUUAAGCCGAAAGAUUUCACCCCAGACUUGAUGGACCGCCUACGCGCCCUUUAAGCCCAGUGAUUCCGAACAACGUUCGCACGGUUCGUCUUACCGCGGCUGCUGGCAC
rnacentral:rRNA from 1 species